UAGAAGCAAGAUGAGGGCACAUGAAAAAUAGAGUUGAUCUUUUGUGCCUUUAGUUUCCAGAGCUCUAAAUUGGUUAAUUUUUCUUUUUCUUUCAUUGGCUAGCUAGAGGUCAGGCACACGUCUUCCUAUUAAGUUUGUAUUUAUUUUAUUCCUAAAAAAAUCUAUUUCCUUGUGAAGAUAAAUAUAUCCUUGGGAAUUUGGUUACAUAAAUGAUACAUGAGCAUCUAAGCCUCCAUAUGUAAAUUAAUGGGUGGAUUGAGGAGAUUUAAGCACCACGUGCGCCAAACGACCCUACCACUUCUUUAAACAAAAAAUUUAGCAACCUAGGUUGUGUAUGAAUGGUGAUUUCAUCCAUAAUGGAAGGAUCCUACAUUUGAAACAUUUCAUAGUAGAAUAUAUUGAUAUAAUUACCGUCGUUUUGUGGCUUGAGGAGAAUCGCACACAGAAUAACAAUUGUCUUUUGUUUGUUAUAAUAGAAAUAACAUGAAUCUCAUAUCAAAAAGAAAUUAGAAGUCUCCCCUUAUGUGCUCUCAUAAAUAAGAAACACUUUAUACUUUAAUUCCAUCGAUGGGUGUGGCAUAGUAUGGAAUAUCUUAUGGUGAGACUUGGGAUUGUUUAUAGUCUCACCUAGUAUACACACUUUUGGUUGCGGAUUUUGGUUUGAGUACUUACUCUCUUGGUAUUGUCCUGUGGCUGUAUCAUAUACUUUAUGAGGGAUUUUUG
rnacentral:lncRNA from 1 species